GUUGGGAUGUUUACUGUAAUAAUAAUCCAAUGUUUGUUUUUAUGUCAAAAUAGAGUAAGUCCAAAAAUUUUUUAAAACAAAACUACUGGACUUUUGUUCUGCAGUUUAAGACGUUUCGUUCCUCAUCUGGGUAGCUUCAAGCUUUUUUAAACUGCAUGAGGUGCUUCGUUGUGUAACAAAGAUUCAUGCACACACAGAUAAACUCGUGCCCCUCACAGUGGAGAGUCAUGAGGAUCUUUGUUUGCCUGGAUCACAUUUGCCUUGGUCACAUGCAUGAAUGUGUGAAUUAGAGGAAAAACUGACUGGAAAUCAGAGCUCUAAUGUAACAUUUUAAGACUCUUUAACAAGACAGCUCAAUUCAGGACUUAGACACCUUCUGCAGUGGUGGGGGUGGGGGUCAAAGCUAACCUCAAGAGGGGGAGUAAUGAAGCCAAAACGGUUGAUGUGUGGAACUGUACCAGCCUUUAGAACCACCUUUCUUCUCUGUACAAAAUAUGAACAUGUUGGUCCUCAGCAGAGUGUUCUUUAUCCUUGAGAUGUAAAACAACUGAGUCUGGUCCUGAAGAUCUACUACGUUCCUGUGUUGAGCCAUGGCUCUGUGGAGAGGCUGCUCCGAUAUAAAAAGGUGUGUAAAAGCAGGGAAACAUCUAAAACCUGCAGGACAGUGGGUCAGGAGAAACAGGGAGGAAGACAUCUGAUAAUGUCACAAACCUGAACAAUGGGAUCCAGGUAGGAUUCAGGACUAGGGUCACCAGCCAAGAGGCCAAGAUGACUUCCUGAUGUUCUUCUGGUUUUGGAAGGGACAUCCAG